rnacentral:rRNA from 1 species
AACGAACGCUGGCGGCAGGCUUAACACAUGCAAGUCGAGCGCCCCGCAAGGGGAGCGGCAGACGGGUGAGUAACGCGUGGGAAUCUACCCAUCUCUACGGAAUAACGCAUGGAAGCGUGUGCUAAUACCGUAUACGUCCUUCGGGAGAAAGAUUUAUCGGAGAUGGAUGAGCCCGCGUUGGAUUAGCUAGUCGGUGGGGUAAAGGCCUACCAAGGCGACGAUCCAUAGCGGGUCUGAGAGGAUGAUCAGCCAAACUGGGACUGAGACACGGCCCAGACUCCUACGGGAGGCAGCAGUGGGGAAUAUUGGACAAUGGGCGCAAGCCUGAUCCAGCCAUGCCGCGUGAGUGAUGAAGGCCCUAGGGUUGUAAAGCUCUGUCACCGGUGAAGAUAAUGACGGUAACCGGAGAAGAAGCCCCGGCUAACUUCGUGCCAGCCGCCGCAGUAAAAC